rnacentral:misc_RNA from 1 species
GAUGAAGAACGUAGUGAAAUGCGAUAAGUAAUGUGAAUUGCAGAAUUCAGUGAAUCAUCGAAUCUUUGAACGCACAUUGCGCCCAUUAGCAUUCUAGUGGGCAUGCCUGUUCGAGCGUCAUUUCAACCCUUAAGCCCUGUUGCUUAGCGUUGGGAGCCUACAGUACUGUAGCUCCCCAAAGUUAGUGGCGGAGUCGGUUUCACACUCUAGACGUAGUAAUUUUUUCUCGUCUGUAGUUGAGCCGGUCCCCUGCCGUAAAACACCCAAUUUAUCAAGGUUGACCUCGGAUCAGGUAGGAAUACCCGCUGAACUUAAGCAUAUCAAUAAGCGGAGGA